GAUGAAGAACGUAGCGAAAUGCGAUAAGUAAUGCGAAUUGCAGAAUUCAGUGAGUCAUCGAAUCUUUGAACGCACAUUGCGCCCUGUGGUAUUCCGCAGGGCAUGCCUGUUCGAGCGUCAUUUCAACCCUCAAGCCCCGCUUGGUGUUGGGCCCCGCCCGCCGUGGCCGGCCCUAAAGACAGUGGCGGCGCCGCCUGGCCCUCAGCGUAGUACAGCUCUCGCUCCAGGGUCCGGCGGCCGCCUGCCAGAACCCCCCAACUCUGUGGUUGACCUCGGAUCAGGUAGGGAUACCCGCUGAACUUAAGCAUAUCAAGCGGAGGA
rnacentral:misc_RNA from 1 species